GCAGUCGAGCGGUAGCACAGAGAGCUUGCUCUCGGGUGACGAGCGGCGGACGGGUGAGUAAUGUCUGGGAAACUGCCUGAUGGAGGGGGAUAACUACUGGAAACGGUAGCUAAUACCGCAUAACGUCGCAAGACCAAAGUGGGGGACCUUCGGGCCUCAUGCCAUCAGAUGUGCCCAGAUGGGAUUAGCUAGUAGGUGGGGUAAUGGCUCACCUAGGCGACGAUCCCUAGCUGGUCUGAGAGGAUGACCAGCCACACUGGAACUGAGACACGGUCCAGACUCCUACGGGAGGCAGCAGUGGGGAAUAUUGCACAAUGGGCGCAAGCCUGAUGCAGCCAUGCCGCGUGUAUGAAGAAGGCCUUCGGGUUGUAAAGUACUUUCAGCGAGGAGGAAGGCGUUAAGGUUAAUAACCUUGGCGAUUGACGUUACUCGCAGAAGAAGCACCGGCUAACUCCGUGCCAGAGCC
rnacentral:rRNA from 1 species